rnacentral:rRNA from 1 species
CCUGAGAAACGGCUACCACAUCCAAGGAAGGCAGCAGGCGCGCAAAUUACCCACUCCCAGAUCGGGGAGGUAGUGACGAAAAAUAACGAUGCAGAACUCAAUCCGAGGCUCUGCAAUCGGAAUGGGUACACUCUAAAUCAUUUAACGAGUAUCAAUUGGAGGACAAGUCUGGUGCCAGCACCCGCGCUAAUUCCAGCUCCAAUAGCGUAUAUUAAAGUUGUUGCGGUUAAAAAGCUCGUAGUUGGAUCUGUGUUCUAAGCUGUCGGUUCACCGUUUUGAUGGUGUUUAACUGACAUGUCUUUGAACGUCCUGCCGGUUGGUGGCGUGGAUUCUCCUUUAUAGGAGGGUUGCGCUUGCCAGUUCAAAUCCUGUCUUGAUGCUCUUCACCGAGUGUUGAGGUGGGCCGGCACGUUUACCUUGAACAAAUUUGAGUGCUUAAAGCAGGCUUCAAUUGCCGGAAAACUGUGUGCAUGGAAUAAUAUAAUAGGACCGCGGUUCUAUUUUGUUGGUUUUCAGAAUCCGAGGUAAUGAUUAAUAGGGACUGGCGGGGGCAUUAGUAUUGCGACGUUAGACUUGGCAAAUGCUUUCGCGGUGAAAUUCUUGGAUCGUCGCAAGACGAACCUAAGCGAAAGCAUUUGCCAAGGAUGCUUCCAUUAAUCAAGAACGAAAGUUAGAGGUUCGAAGGCGAUCAGAUACCGCCCUAGUUCUAACCAUAAACGAUGCCAGCCAGCGAUCCGUCGACGUUCCUUUUAUGACUCGACGGGCAGCUUCCGGGAAACUAAAGCAUUUGGGUUCCGGGGGAAGUAUGGUUGCAAAGCUGAAACUUAAAGGAAUUGACGGAAGCGCACCACCAGGAGUGCAGCCUGCGGCUUAAUUUGACUCAACACGGGAAAUCUCACCAGGCCCAGACACCAGGUGGAUUGACAGAUUGAGAGCUCUUUCUUGAUUUGGUGGGUGGUGGUGCAUGGCCGUUCUUAGUUGGUGGAGCGAUUUGUCUGGUUAAUUCCGAUAACGAACGAGACUC